UUUCCGUAGGUGAACCUGCGGAAGGAUCAUUAUUGUAUAACCGAGGUGCGAGGGCUGUCGCUGACCCGAAAGGUCGUGCACGCCCGAGUGCCCUCACACACAUCCAUCUCACCCCUAUUUGCACCACCGCGUGGGUCCCCCUUUGGCUUGUUCGGAGGGGGGCUUACGUUUUCACACAAACUUUGUAUGCAGUGUAGAAUGUAUUUUUUGUUUUUGCGAUCACGCAAUCAAUACAACUUUCAACAACGGAUCUCUUGGCUCUC
rnacentral:misc_RNA from 1 species